AAAUUGAAUUGACAAUAAAAUACCAAUUAAACAUUUUUCCCCUUACAUUUUCCCUUCAGUUCACAACACAACACCAAAAGGCGACAUUUCUAAUUUGGAGGACAUAUAUAAGUACAAUAUUGUUACUCCUUUGUAGUCCGAGGACGAACAAAAUAAACGUCUUCAGAGACGGCAAAAAAAAAAACCCAGCAAAUGUCAUUGCAUGCUCUAUAAUUUACCUGUAAUUUCAUCUUUUCAGGACUUCGGCAUCCUAAAAUGAUGGGAGGUUUCACAGCAUCUCAUCAGCUGGACCUCACCGUAAACAAUAUUUAACUAACAAAAGCGCAUUAUUCUUGGGGAUCAGCAUCAACCAUGCAUAAGAUCCA
rnacentral:misc_RNA from 1 species